AGACGCAUGCGCUCUGAGUUCUGGUUCCCCAGCAUGGGUUCCUUGCUCCCUCCGGUGUUGCUGCUGUGGCUCCUGUCCUGCCCCAGGCUUCAGCUAGGACAUGCCCAGGAUCCUGCCAUGGUGCAUCUGCCAGGUGGCCGGUUUCUGAUGGGGACAGACGCUCCAGAUGGCAGAGACGGUGAAGGGCCUGCCCGGGAAGUGACAGUAAAACCCUUUGCCAUCGACAUAUUUCCAGUCACCAAUAAAGACUUCAGGGAGUUUGUCAGGGAGAAGAAGUACCAGACUGAAGCCGAGGCAUUCGGGUGGAGCUUCGUCUUUGAGGAUUUUGUCUCCCCUGAGCUCAGAAAGCAAGAAAAUCUGAUGCCGGCUGUUCACUGGUGGCAGCCAGUGCCAAAGGCAUUUUGGAGGCAGCCCAGGUUCCUCCUUCCUCAACCUUCCGAGUGCUGGAAAUCCAGCCUGCAGGUCCCGGCUCUGGCAUCCGAGAGAAACUGGAGCUUCCCGUGGUACACGUGAGCUGGAACGACGCUGGUGCUUACUGCGCAUGGCGGGGGAGACGCUUGCCCACAGAAGAGGAGUGGGAGUUUGCAGCCCGAGGGGGCUUGAAGGGUCAGGUUUAUCCAUGGGGGAACCGGUUCCAGCCAAACCGCACCAACUUAUGGCAGGGAAAGUUCCCCAAAGGUGACAAAGCUGAAGAUGGUUUUCAUGGACUGUCACCAGUGAACGCUUUCCCCCCACAGAACAACUACGGACUGUAUGACCUCAUGGGCAAUGUGUGGGAGUGGACAGCGUCCACAUACCAACCUGCUGGCCAGGACAUGCGUGUCCUCCGGGGGGCAUCAUGGAUCGACACCGCAGACGGCUCUGCUAAUCACAGGGCUCGGGUCACCACCAGGAUGGGAAACACUCCAGACUCAGCCUCAGACAACCUGGGCUUCCGCUGCGCCUCCAGUGCAGGCCGACCGAAGGAGGACCUGUGAGCAGCCAGACCGAGAUCUCCGAAGCACCCUCUCAGCACUGUACCUCCGUGACCAUGUUCCAGAGGCAGCUGGCUACCAAGCUCAUGCGUCUGAGGGUGGCCUUUUGAGCCCCUCCCCUCUGACAGACACAAAGAACACUCGGACUGCAAGAAGGGACUGCAGUAGCCUGGAAGAUGAGGACCUGGAUGACCAAGGCUGGGAGCUGGGCUGUCUCUUAAGUGCAGUAUUAAGGACAAAGGAACCAAACCCUCCAGUGUCCAAAAGAUGACAUUUUUUAAACUCUCUCCCUUUUUGCUUUCUCCCUGGCUGGUUCAGCUUUCACUUCUGGGAAAUUCUGCAGAAGGAAAAUGCUUCCUUUGUGAGGUGUGCCAAAGCCUUGCUGCCAGAACCUAGCCUCGCUGGCCUCUGAAACGAGAUACUCAAUAUGUGGCAAGGCUGGUCUCGAACUCUCGAUCCUCCUACCUCAGCUUCCUGGGUCCUGCUGGGAUUACACACCACGCCCACUAUUUAAAAGCCCCAGUAAAGCAAAUGAUUUAUGAAGUGAAGAUGUGCAUUGUGGGAGAACCAAAGUCAGUGCCCCUCUAGGAAGACAAAUGCCAGAACCUUCUCUGAGAGUUAGCUAAUCAUGUAGGGCCUUCUGUGUAUCCUGCAGACAUGUCCCUGAAGAAGAACUGGAUCUUAUGAGGUCAAUAAAUCCUUUUUUUUUUUUAA